GGGUCGAUGCCCGAGUGGUUAAUGGGGACGGACUGUAAAUUCGUUGACAUCAUAAUAAGCUAUAAGGCCUUCUUCCCA
rnacentral:tRNA from 1 species